UUUCCGUAGGUGAACCUGCGGAAGGAUCAUUCAUAAUAAAGUGUUUUAUGGCACUUUUUAAAAAUCCAUAUCCACCUUGUGUGCAAUGUUAGAUCUCGUCAAUCUUGGCGAGAUUUUUAUACAUCAACUCAUUCUUUAACUAAUUUGUCUGAAAAAUAUUAUGAAUACUUAAUUCAAAAUGCAACUUUCAACAACGGAUCUCUUGGCUCUC
rnacentral:misc_RNA from 1 species